AGUGGGCCUAAAAGCAGCCAUCUUUAAAAUUGCGUCAAAGCUUAAUUGUUCUCACGCUUAAUCACCAGAUUUUAAUCUUAAUCCCCAAUCAAUACUGAGUAAUUCUAUAAAACUAUAGAAAAUUUUAUGUUAAAACUAGUAACAAGAAGAGGACUCUUCUCUUAAAUGUAAGUGUACAUCAGAAAGGACAAACCACUGAUACUUAACAUCCAUGAGUCUAAAGUAGUAACCAACCAAGAAAACUCUACUUCCACCUAUGUUAACCUAACACAAGAACAUUUAAAGAAAGAUUAAAAGAAAAAGAAGGAACUCGGCAAAUAUUAACCUCGCCUGUUUACCAAAAACAUCGCCUCUUGAAUUUUAUAAGAGGUCCAGCCUGCCCAGUGACUCUGUUCAACGGCCGCGGUAUCCUAACCGUGCGAAGGUAGCGUAAUCACUUGUUCUUUAAAUGUGGACUAGUAUGAAUGGCACCACGAAGGUUAUACUGUCUCCUUUUUCUAAUCAGUGAAACUAAUCUCCCCGUGAAGAAGCGGGGAUAAAGCUAUAAGACGAGAAGACCCUAUGGGGCUUUAAACAACAUAGCACUUGCCACACACCAUUAAAAUUCCAGAAUCUUCAAUUCUCUGAGCAAUAUGACUAUAAGUUUUUGGUUGGGGUGACCGCGGAGCAUAACACAACCUCCAUGUUGAAAGAAUCAUUUUCUAAGCUAAGAACUACAACUCUAGGCAUCAACAUAUUGACAUCCAUUGACCCAAUACACUUGAACAACGAACCAAGUUACCCUAGGGAUAACAGCGCAAUCCACUUCAAGAGCUCCUAUCGACAGGUGGGUUUACGACCUCGAUGUUGGAUCAGGGUUUCCCAGUGGUGCAGCCGCUACUAAAGGUUCGUUUGUUCAACGAUUAAAACCCUACGUGAUCUGAGUUCAGACCGGAG
rnacentral:rRNA from 1 species